GAACCGGGUCGGAUGGACCAAGGCUGGAAACGUCAGAAACCAGGAGCAGACCUCACGCUUCAGUGACCUCACAGGUCAACCCAAAAGGUCACAUGACAGGAAGACCCGCCCCCUUCGGGAACCACAGCCCCGAACGGAGCACGCUCAGUCGGGACGCCGGAGGAAAACCAAGAUGGCGGAACCUGAUGGUCCUCAGUGUGCAGGUUCAGCGGCGACGGACUCACUGCCAAGCAACUUUUAAAGGAGCAGAAAAACAUUUCACUGAUGAACGACGGGGCAGGAAGCGUUCAGCUUUUAAAACAGAUCCUAAUGAAUGAUAUGGAUGGAAACUCCAGAGAGGCCUGUGAAGAGACAUGAGGACAGAAAGCAUCUGGACCAGGAACUCUCCAGGGAACGCGGCUAAGAUGGCCGACAGAGAGCAGCUAAUGGAAGCAGGCGAGACGCAGAGUAACAACCUGCAGGAAACUCCGGCUGCAGCUUCAGGAUGGGAAACUCUGCAGAAGAAGACAGAAAGCGGAGGAAGGAAACGUGACCGCUGCAGUGAGUCACCAGAACCACUGCCAGGGCGUGGCCGGUCCGGUAUGCCUGCUGCCAUGGCAACGGACACUCCACAGAAACACGAGCACACACACACACGACAGCGACACCAUCAACACACACACGGUUCCUGGAAGUGAGACUGAGUCACAGAACCAGAACCUAAAUAUAUCGAAAAAACCUCCUGAGAUCAACCACAAAAAGAAAAAUACCAAACAGACAAGAAGUAAAACCUAAAGUUAUUUCUGCUUCUUCAGCAACAAAACUUAAAGUUAUGGUUUAAAGCAGCUGCUUCAACCAAAAACAGUUUAUUCUGAAUUCACCAGAACAUCCAUCAGCAACCACAACACGAUCUGGACCGGACCGAACCGGACAGCUACAAUGCCGUGUUUACUCCACUACAUUACACAUAAAGCAAAACCCUCUGUUGAUGAGGAACGAGAGCCUAAUGCUGAACCCUAACCCUA